rnacentral:rRNA from 1 species
UACGUAGGGUGCAAGCGUUGUCCGGAAUCAUUGGGCGUAAAGCGCGCGUAGGUGGUCAUGUAAGUCCGCUGUGAAAGUCAAAGGCUCAACCUUUGAAAGCCGGUGGAUACUGCAUGACUAGAGUACGGAAGAGGCGAGUGGAAUUCCUGGUGUAGCGGUGGAAUGCGCAGAUAUCAGGAAGAACACCCGUGGCGAAGGCGGUUCUCUGGGACGGUACUGACGCUGAGACGCGAAAGCGUGGGGAGCGAACAGG